rnacentral:tRNA from 1 species
GGAGACGUCGCAUAGUCCGGCCGAGUGCACCACCCUGCUAAGGUGGAGUCCCCGCAAGGGGACCGCGGGUUCAAAUCCCGCCGUCUCCGCCA